rnacentral:tRNA from 1 species
UUCCCUGUGGCUCAGUUGGUUGAGCAUGGUGUUUGCAACACCAGGGUUGUGGCUUCAAUUCCCACGGGGAGG